GAGCAACAAGGUGUAAAGGCAAAGGCCAGAUAAAAACUUCUGGGAUUCUUCCCUAGGUGGUUAGAAGGUGGAUGAAAUGGCUGGACUCAGAGCAGCCAUGCUGGUCUAUGAGGGGACCUUGUCAUAGAAGUCAUUCAUUACAUAGGAGACUAGUUCUCAGAGGACUACAUGGAACAGCCCUGGACUGUAGACUUGUAAGAGAUAAAGAAAGCAAGAUUCUAAACUGCGUCAGCCAACAUCUGAGGGGUUGUUACUUAUCAGCGUGGCUCAGGUGGAUCCCAAGAAGGCAGUCAAGAAAACAGGCAACUCAACAGGCAGGAGGCAACAGUUCUGGGCUGACAGGUGGGUGCACUGUAUCCAGGAUGCGGCAUUUUUUUUUUCCCCAAAUGUGCAUGGAAGAUUCUCCUGGGGACCAGCAGAAAGCUUGCACGUGGAAAUCUAUCUAUCUAUAGAGAAGAAUGGAAUUAUGGCAUAAUGCUGCUUUUCUAUGGCUGUGAUGAAGCACAAGACAAUGCUGUGAUGACCGAGACAACUUGUAGAAGAAAGAGUUCAUUUGGACUCAGGGUUCCAGAGGGGACAAGAGCUGCCAGAGCUGCCAGAGUGGUUUCAGGAUCUCAUUCCCGCGGCUCAAGGAGGGAAGGAAUUUCACCUAGCUACAGAUGGGUGGGAAAUCUCAAGGAAGGUCUCUGAUUGGCCCAGGCAAAACACUGUACCCAUCAAAUAAAAUAAACAUCCUAAGUUAAAAGAAAGAAAUGCCAUGAUCGAGCUAAGAGAAAUCCAGGCGAGAGCAAUCAGAGCCAGGGAAAGCCUACACUAUGGAGACUCAUGCUCAAGAUCAAAGCGGUUUGGAUCUGAGGAGAGAGGGGAGCAGCGUCAACCACAGAAGGUGCAGUCACCCCAAGCCCAGCUCAUCUCGUCACAAAUGUCUUGAUGACAUUCUCAAGAGGCCGAUUAUCUACUUAUUAUUUGAUUCAAGUUGACUAGAAACUGGACACCAAGUAAGAAACGAGCAAAAAAUAAUCAUCUAUUUUUUUUUUAAAUGUAGUCAAAAUGCAGCUGAGUAAGCCUUGGUAUAUACAAGGUUCCCCCAGCGAAGAACAGCGGGCAAAAAACGUUCCAGCAUCCUGGCUUAGCUGAAACAUAAAAAGCACGAAGACGUGAAACCAUCCGAGCAGGCCAUAAAGACACCGCUGCCUUUGCCUCGAAACUUGGGCUAUGAUCUGCUGCCCUGGAACAAAAUUCAAACAUAAAUCAGCUCCCAGUGUAUUUUUAAACUACCUAGGAAACUCUUCGCUUCCUGCCUGAAGUGCUUCUGACAGCGAACGACGCCACUCUCCCUCACCCCUGCUCUGAAAAAGGCUCCCUCGGGCCCUGCUGGGGAUCGGAGCCUGGGUCUCACAGUUCAGGCGAGUCCAGAAAGAGGAGAAGGACAGAAGGAACCAUCUGGAGCUUGGGCUGAGGCCAGCCUCUGCCAUGCUGUUCCCCGAAGAUGGAGAGGGCUCCUUCUCCUGGCAUUCCCUGCCAACCGGGAUGCCCUCUCCCAAUCACUCCCCAGCACAGUCUCAUCUAUACCCUGUGACCUAGAGCCCCUGCCAAGCCACCCCGGAUGCCCACAGCAUUAUCUUUAUCAGAGCCACUAACCCAGCAGCAGUGGGUACCAGGCCGCUGGCAUUUAAUUAUACAGUAUCUGGCAUUUGCUACUUCAUGCUGUCACGUCUGUCUCUCUAACUAGAUUAAAGAUACCUUGAGGGUAAUGAUGAGUUCAUCUUACGGCAUAUGUCUACCUUACAGCUGACCACGGCGCCUUAUGUCUGGGCACCUUUCUAACAACAAGGUCAUGGAAACAGAAUGGUGGGGUGUCUACGUUGGCAGGUUCUCUCUGCCCUGUCCAUUUUGUAGAGAAAGGGGAAAAAAAAAAAGGAAAGGCAAAGGAGAGGCUGGACCAGCCCAAGGCUGUGCCACGAGAACCUUCCAGAAGAGACCCAGGUCUCCCGACCGCCAAUGCAACACGCUCUAUUUGCCUCAGCCACUCGAAAACCCUCAAAAAGACAGUUCAGGCCCACAGCUCCCUGGGGAACCAAGAGACACAUGCAGACGACUGCCAUCCCCCAGGACUCCAUCUGCUCCUGGGCAGGAUUGCCAGGCCAGGCAGUAGAAAAGCUCAGUGGACAGCCCUGGUGGGAGGAGUCAACGCCGGGCCUCUCUGUACUAGCCGCCAGGGUGGGGUGGGGUGUGUAAGGACCUGAGUGGAUUGCCUGGGUCCCGCAGCCUCUCCUCACACCACAGGGGUCAGUCAGCACCUUCUGUGCCGUCCUGACACAUCCAUCAAGCUGUGAGAGGAGAGGGCGGCCCCUCCGUGGAGAGAUGCCUGUGCAUGCUGGGGCUGCAGUGAAGGCCACACUCCAGGUAGUUGCCUCAAACUCCAGACAACACGUUGCUCCAUAGUGACGGGAAGGCUGACAGAAAUCAGCCUCAAGACAAAUGGCAGCAACUAGUAGGCAAAACCCAGCCACAGGCUGGUGGCUCCUCAGUCCUGAGGCUCUCCAGGUCACUCACUCUGCAGCUGCCACAGCCGCUCUGUAGCAGUUCUCAGAAGGGCCCUCCACACCCGCCGUGAUGCACUCACUUAACAGAUGUGAAAACCGAGGCCUAGGAAACGGAAGUACUUUGCUCCGCGUCGCCACUGUGUACAGCUGCUAAAUGUCAGAGCGGAGACUGGAAUCCAGGACAGCUUCACUGUAAAAGAUCCCCCCCUUCGAUACAAUCCACAGAGACUUUGA